CGAACUAGUAUCAAUGAACAUUGAAACUGGAAGCACAAUUUUUCAUUUCGUGAAGUGGUGCGAGUUGCGCACCUGAGGUGCCGCACUUUCUCCAUGUUUUCUACUGGUGUGCUAAACGAGGAAGCCAAAGAAAUGGGUUGCCAAACAUGUACGCUACUGACUGCAUUAGCUCCGGAUCUGUGCUCAGUUAGGACAGUCAGGGUGCGUGUGUGACAGUGUCAUGUCAUGACCCAUGUAAAGUGAGCUAUGGGGAGAAACUCCCAAAAAAAAAGUUUAACUGUUUAUCUUCA